rnacentral:rRNA from 1 species
UACGUAGGGGGCAAGCGUUGUCCGGAUUUAUGGGGCGUAAAGAGCGUGUAGGCGGCCAUGCAGGUCCGUUGUGAAAACUCGAGGCUCAACCUCGAGACGCCGAUGGAAACCGCAUGGCUAGAGUCCGGAAGAGGAGAGUGGAAUUCCUGGUGUAGCGGUGAAAUGCGCAGAUAUCAGGAAGAACACCAAUGGCGAAGGCAGCUCGCUGGGACGGUACUGACGCUGAGACGCGAAAGCGUGGGGAGCAAACAGG